UUGUAGCAUUAGCAAUCAAGAAGAUAUCACAGAGGUAAAAUGCAGAAGAGAGAGCAAAAAUGGUUCUUUAGGGGUACUCAGGUAGACCAUAAAACUAGGGUUCCAGGCUUGGAUUUAGCUGUGAUCUCUUUUAUUUAUUACCAUUAUUUAUGGAGACCUCUAGGAAGUCUCCUUUUCCAUUUGUGAAAAUGAAGACAAAUUAUGCAUUUGAAGUUUAAAUAGUAGCUCCCCACUCUCUCUUCCAAAGUAUAUCAUAGAACCUGGUUUCAUUGAUUUAGCAAGUGAUUUACUAAAUAAUUAUUGAGCAUCUGCCCUGUUUCAAACACUACACUAGAUAUCAGGGAAUGGUUAGCAACACAGACACAGAUAUGGCCCUUUCCUCCCGGAGCUCACAGUUUGGUGAAGGUUUAUUUCUCUUGUUCACUUUCUGAGCCGGGCACAGUGGUGGCCCACACCUGUAAUUCCAGUGGCUCAAGAUGCUUAGACAGGACGAUCAUGAAUUCAAAGCCAGCCUCAGCAAAGGUGAGACAUUAAGCAACUCAGUGAGACCCUGUUUCUAAAUAAAAUACAAAAUAGGGCUGGGAAUGUGGUUCAGUGGUUGAGUGUUACUGAGUUCAAUCCCCAGAACCAAAAAAACAAACAAACAACAACAAAACCCACUACUUUCUGAAUGAGCCCCUCUUGAGGGAAAAGAGGGUGCUGCUUCUUUAAUCCCAAAGGAAACAGGGCAAUCUGGUGUCAACAUCAUUGCCUCUUUCAGGACCUUGAGUACCCAAAAGGCCAGUUAUUUGGGCUCUUAUCAUUAAAACCUCCUCUACCCCAGAGUAGUGGGAAGAAUCUAGAAGCCAUUCCUUACUUGGAAAGGUGAGCUGUAGGAGAAGGCAUCAUUUUCCCCCCUUUUCUUCUUUUACUUGGAAGAGAAACUCAGCUUGAGAAGGAGGCCUGGGGGAGUGGCAGGAACUGAGCAAGAAGGAGCAACCAGGAGAUCUGGGUGUUUCCAAGGUGCUAAUUUAAGCAUUAGCUCUCAGCUAGUGGGAGGAAGAGGAAGAGAUCCCUGCCCUGUUGUUGCACAGCUGCCCAGAGCCUCCUGCCUGGGGCUGGAUCUUGCCUGAAAGGAGUGGCUUCCUUCCUUUCCCCAUCACACCAAUUAUUUAAUUGGUCAGGCUGCAUCUCAGCAGCUGAACCAGGCCUUGGCUUAUUCUUGAGCUCCCCAGGUCUCUUCCUAUCUCCUUAUGAAAGAAAUGAGAGCUCCUCUUGAAGACCUUAUUCCCUGGGAUCCACUCCUGCUGUGUCUGUCUCCCAGGCAAUCCUGAGUAUGUCAGAGUAUAGAUUCUCUCCAAGAAACUUUGGAAUGGCUUAGUAUGUAAGCUCUGAACCAUAUACUGCCACUGAACUAGGGAAAAUCCUAACUGCCUUCUCUUGAGCAAUUAGGAUGAGUUUGGGCCAUUGUUUCUAGGAGUGGCAGGCAUAGGCUCUCUGGUCCUGUUUGUCUGCUGAGUCUGAUGCUAUAGCCGCAAAGUCUGUCAUCAGCUGUAGUUGGGAGGAAGAGAAUUGUUGCAAGAAAAACAAAUGGAGCCUUUAAGUACUUAAUUGUGUCAGGCAACACCCUGCUGAUGCUUUUAGAGGCCAAAGAUACUUAAAGAAUGGCAUAUGGCAACAGAUUGGAUCUCUGCACUCUUGCGAGAAAUGCUUGUCUGGCCUUACUGAAACUAGAUUAUCCUUUAACUCAUUUGUUUAGUUCAUGAUUAUUUGCUGUGUCUCUACUUAGUUCCAGAUAAUUUAAAGAUACAGAAACAAGUCAGAUCUCUCCAGUGGAGCCAGAAGGAUGAAUGGGCUCAAAUGGUGAUAGGAAAGUUUUUAUACAAGUCAGAAAAGGGUAGAGAUGGAAUGGAAGGUGUUCCCAAGAAAGGUGACAACUCCCUUAGAAAGUGAAGAAUGCUGAGGUUCUGCCUUGUUACUACAGGAACUUGGCAAGGAGUUUCAGGAGUUUCAGGCUGUAUUCCCUCUGACACUGAGGGAUGGGGAUGGUCAGGAUGAUUGUGCAGUAAGUGGCCCAUAGAAGCUUCUGAAAGUGUCAGGGAACACACUAUAAAGACAGCAGUAGCCACUAUGGAAAAUUGACCUACAGGUAUUCUAUGGUCUGGGCACCUUUAUGUUAUUCCUUAUAGUCAGUUGACUUUUCAAUUUAAGAGUGGAUUCUCCUAGUGGGUCCAUAUGGCUCAUGGCCCAGCAGUAUUUGUCAGGUUUCUGGAAAGAAGACACCCUUCCCUAUCUUCCUCUAUUGCAAAAUGAGGCUUGCUUAGGCCCUCAGCCCCUUACCAUUUGUCUUUCAUCCAACAAACUCUAAGUGAGAACCUACUUUCUGCUAGGUAUUAUCCAGGGCACAAUGACACAGAAACUUACUCAAGGGGUAUCCAAGGUAUAGAACACAUUGAGGCACUACAGGGUAGAAAGCACUAAAAAAGAAGUAAGAAUCCAGUCCAAUAGGACCAAAAUCAAAUGAGAUGGGUCCUCCUUAGGUGGUUAGAAAAGGCUUCACAGAGGAGACCUUGCUGAACUGGCUCUUGGAAAAGGACUAAAAGCUUAGCAGAACAACAAGAUGAGGCAAGGGAAGGAAUUCCAGGCAAGGGGCAUGGAGGAAGAAACAAAAAUGAUACAUUUGGAAUGUAAUUAAGGGAAUAGCAUGAUCAAAUUUGAGUUCAUCACUCCAGUGGUGAAUGAGGGGUUGGAGAAAAUGAGAUUGGAAGUUGGAAAGUUAAUAUAGAGGUGUAUACAAUAAUCCAGGCAAGAGAUAAUAAAUUCUACCCUAAAGCAAAAUCAGAGAGAUGGGGGAUAGAUAUGCAGAUGUUAAUAAGGCAGAAUAACAGAAUAUGGUACCUGUUUGGAGGUGGAAUGUGAGUUAAGGAUGACUCCCAGGUUUCUGGUGUGAACAUUGGGUGGAAGAAGGAACCAUAGGAGAUUUGGAGGCCUGUGGAUCUCUUAGCCUCAGAGAUUGCUUGUAACAGAGAAGGCUGCUAUUUUCCUUUGCUCUAUUGCUGAAGCAAUGGAGCUAUGAGUUCGGGUUAUGAGUUGUAGAAAACCAAAGAUGAGCCAGAAGUGGUGGCGCAUGCCUGUAAUCUCAGCUACCCAGAGGCUAAGACAGGAGAUCACAAGUUCAAGGAAGCCUCAGCAAUUUAUCAAGAUGAUGCCUCAAACAUUUAAAAGGGGCUGAGGAGCUCAGUGGUAGAGCACUUGCCUAGCCAGUGCAAGGCCCUGGGUUCAAUUCCCAGUACUGGGAGAAAAAAGAAAAGACAUGGACAGAGUAAACGUGAACGUAGCACUGACUCACAGCCUCAAAAGGGCUGCUGGGAAAUGUGUUCACCUACCAAUGAAUACUUUUCCUCUGUUUUGUUGAAUACAGGAGAAUUGGUGAUAGCAAGGCCAUGAAUGGGUUUUUGUUAUUUUUGUUUUGUUUUUCCUCUCAGCAGCACUUAGAUGAAGGAAAAAUAAAAUCGUUUGUAUUUUAAGUGUUUUGUGUUGCAGUUUCUGGCUGGGCUCUUACUAUCUUUCUAGUCAAAUUUAUGGUUUUACCUGUAGGCCCUCUCAUUCAUUUCUUAGAGAGAGAGAGAGAGAGAGAGAGAGAGUGUGUGUGUGUGUGUGUGUGUGUGUGUGUGUGUUAUGGCGUUAUCUGUGAGAAUAGAAAAGUAUUUAUAUCUCCCUUUUCCGAGACCACCCUGAAAGCGGGGCUUAGGGUAAAAAACUGGUGCUACUUCCUUCCAGACAAAGUAUGCCAAAGGAGCAAUCUUCUAGGGUGAGAUCACUCAAAGGUACCUUAGCCUCUACUAGACAGGUGCUUCCAUGGUAGCUAGGAUUCAGGCUGAGUCAUUCCCAGGCCUCAGCUGCCUGCUGUCCUUGCCUGUAGCCUAGGGUGAACAGAAGUGGAAAACAGACUUCUUUACUUAGAUCUGAUUCACUUCAGAGACCCUCUUCCCUCCUUGAAAGAUGGAGACUUACGUGUGGAAAGGGAACAUGGAAACCACUUCUUGGGCUUAGUUGCCUUGUACCUUCCAGCAGACCAUGGGAAAACUGGUACAGGGAGCCUCUGAGGAGGUGGGAAGGGGAGAAUCAGAAUUUGAGCUGCACCCAAAUCUUAGUUAAAGUGCACUUAGUAACUAAGUUAGUUUAACUUAGUUUAACUAAGAUUUACUGAAUUAACUACACCCAAACUGUAGAGUGAGAGCCAUAUAUAUUAUAGUUAACUUAAAUAUGAUUAUAUACAUGCUAUAAAAUGAUUUAUAGUUUCCAUAUGGAUUUUAUCCUUAUAAAGGAGUUGAUGAAGCCCUUAUCCAAGACAAAUACCCAGAAGUUCUGGCUGAAGGAAUCGAGGUAUAGCUUGGGACAGUCCCAAGUCAUUGUUUCCUAAGGAGACUUUGGUGGGAAUUUGACUUUCAGGAUGGGAGAAAGGAAGGAAGGAAGGAGGCAGAGCUGGGUAAAACUCUGGAUCUGGCUCUGCUCUGUAGUUGAAAUUGGCACAUGACCCAAGACCUUGCUGUGGGGCAGCCAAGUGAGCUUCUGGGCUUCAGGGAGGAACUCUGGAGUGGAAAAGUUCUCUAGGAUGGAGGUCCAGAGGGUCUGGCCUAGGAAAGGGAGUGUAAACAUGCCUGCAGGAGUUUUCCCUUAUGCCACAGUCUUAGGAGCCAGUUCCAACAAAUGUGUUCCUGUGUUUGUUGUUAUUUUGUCAUUCUGAGAUGUCAAGUUGAAGAUCAUAUGGAUGUGAUUAUUGAAAGUCAAUAUUAAGUUUCUUUGAUGAAGGUAUAUGGUUAUGUGCCAAGAAGAAACUAACUGCCAUGAAUGACUCUUACCCCUAAGAAAUAUAAGAAUGACAAAAGCCCAGUUGCUGUGGCUCCUUGCCUGGUUUUGUUCACUUUGGUCACCAUACUCUUGGUUCUCAUAAAUAGUUCAUCUAUUUAUCUAAAACAGUACCUAAAAGGCACUAUUUUUUUUUUCUAGGGAUUGAACCCAGGGCCUUGCAAGUGGUAGGUAAGCAAGCACUCUACCACUGAGCUAUACCCAAAUCUUAGUUAAAGUGCACUUAGUAACUAAGUUAGUUUAACUUAGUUUAACUAAGAUUUACUGAAUUAACUACACCCAAACUGUAGAGUAAGAGCCAUAUAUAUUAUAGUUAACUUAAAUAUAAUUAUGUACAUGCUAUAAAAUGAUUUAUAGUUUCCAUAUGGAUUUUAUCCUUAUAAAGGAGUUGAUGAAGCCCUUAUACAAGCAUGGCUUAGAUCUACUUUUCCCUUAGUAUAUUGUUAGGAAUAUUAAUCCUAUGGCAUACUUCAUGGGGUAGGAGGAGUCUCCAUAGGAAAAUUCCUUUGGGAAACACUAUACAUUCUAUCAUACCACAAUGUUAACUAGUGUUUUGGUUUUUUUUUUCCUUUGCGAUGGUACUCGGGGUUGAACCCAGAAUUCCUCUACCACUGAACCAUACCUCCAGCCCUUUUUAUUUUAUUUUUGAGACUGGGUCUCACUAGGUUGCCAAGUCUGGUCUCAAAUUUGUAAUCCUCCUGCUUCAGUCUCCUGAGUCACUAGGAUUACAAGCAUGAGCCACUACUCCCAGUUUCAACUAGAAUUUUAAAGGCUCUCAGAAAUCCUGAAAUAAACAUUUUCAACUGUGUUUAACUAAAUAUUUCUCAAGAUUAUUUAACUACAACCCCCCCCCCCUUUUUUUUUUUACAACAUCUCACUCUUAUAGAAUCAAUGUGUCUUCAUGGACUACUUUUUGGAAAACCAAAAAGCUUAGAAAUUAAUCUGUGUUGUGAUCCAGUCUAGAUUUAUUUUCUUCCCCAUUCUUUAGAGCCUCUUUAUAAUUAACACCAUUUUGCCCUGUGCUAGUCUCUAGUGAGAUGUUGAUUUGUUUUAAGGUCUGUACUUAACUACCAUCAAUUAGGAAGUUUCUAGUAAACUUUGGUACAGAAGCAAAUACUAAGAGCCUUGAUUUUCUGAUGAUAUUUCUAAGGGAGUUUUACUUUCCUCAUGUCCCUUUUUUUUUGACAGCUGUAUUAAGAUGUAAUUUAUUGGGCUGGGGAUAUGGCUCAAGUGGUAGCGCGCUCACCUGGCAUGUGUGCGGCCCGGGUUCAAUCCUCAGCACCACAUACAAACAAAGAUGUUGUGUCCGUGAUAACUAAAAAAAAAGUAUUAAAAUUCUCUCUCUCUCUCCCUCUCUCUCUCUCUCUUUAAAAAAAAAAAAAAAAAGAUGUAAUUUAUAUACUGUAUACUUUAGCCAUGUUGAACUUUACUUUUAAUCCUGACAUGGUUAACUCAUGCUUUAGGUUUUUGUUUUUUUUUUAAUACCUAUGGGUUGUCCCUGUCCUUUGUGUUCUCACAGGCAACAGAUAAAAAUUAUAUUCCAAAUAUCUUGUCAGGAAAAAUCCCAGCUCAAUGAGGAUUUAAAAUGAAAAAUGGAUUCCUGACUUAAGGGAAUAUUUCACCUGCAGUAUCAAUAAAUAUCCUCACUGUUCACAACAAGCUUAAGGGGCAUUCCUACAUAAUCAUUUUAUGCCCUCCAUAGGUGACAUAAAGCAUAAAUUAUAAGGAGUUUCAUCCCCUAUACCAAUGCCUAUUAGUUAGUAGUAGCUAUCCAGAGCAUUGUGUUAAGAAGGAUUCUGAAGCAGAGUCCUGGUUUCAUGAGAAAUAGUGAUAUGGUUGAUUUUCCAUGUCUGCCAUGAUCUUCAGCAAGAAGAACAGCAGUUUUGGUGUUCUGGUUGCCAUCCUGGCAGUCCUGAAUCAUCAUAGUUAUACUGGGUAAAGAACACAGGAAAGGAAGACUCUGGGGGAUGUUAGCCAGCUCAGCAUUCUGUUUUCACUGAGAGGUUUGAUUCUUAUGAUAGGGCUCUUUAAGAAAUUAAUAGAGAAAAUUGACCUUCCUAACCUGAUCUUCAGCACUGGUUUUUGAAGAAUAGAUUAAUAUGAAGUUAAUAAUCCUUUGAAAAUAGAUGGGCCAGGUGAGAAGGAGUAACCUUUGACUCUUCUAAAUAGUUUAGAGGGAAAAAGAGGCAGAUUCAGGAAGAGAUCUCAUGAAUAUCAUAUGAAUGGUUGGCUAUGCUUAAAAUGAAGCUGUAAGCCCUUGACCAAAGGCCAAGAAGAAAUAGGCCACAAGAAGUCUCACUUAAGCCAUCAGUUACUGCAGAUGCCAGUCCCUACCAUUUAGCAUAAAACCUCAACAAUCUCUCCCAACCCCCAGGCUAAGUAGACCCUGUUUUUUCCUUCCAUGAUUUCCCUGGAGAAUGAUUUCCAAAUCCCUAGUAACCCUAGCUACCUCAGUGGAUACUUUGAAGUUUUUCAUCCCUGAUACUAGACAUAGAUCCCUUUAUGUGAUCUGACCAGCACAGAUUACUAUAGGGCUGCCCGUACCCAUAAUAUUGAUAUUAUACUUCCAUUAUGGUCAGUUGAGAUUUCAUGAUAAUGGCUGUACCUAUUGUUAUAUUGAACUUAAAACAUAUUUUAAAUAGGGUAGCUCUUUGCAUUAGCGGUGUAAAAUCAAAGGUAAAAACCUGGAAUCACAUCUCAAGCUAGGCAGACUGGCAAUACAGGUAAUGGUCUACUGGGGUUAGUGAGAUGGUGUUUUAAUACUUACAACUCUUUUUUUUUUUUUUUUUUUUUUUUUGUGGUGCUGGGGAUUGAACCCAGGGCCUUGUGUAUGAAAGACAAGCACUCUACCAACUGAACUAUAUCCCCAGCCCCCUACUUAUAACUCUUAUUCUAAGAAAAAUAGCGGAGAUUAAAACAAAAAAAGCUACCUGAAUUCAGCAAGGUAAAGUUUAAAUAGAAUCUAAAUGAGUCUGUAUGAUUGAAUAGCUAGUGUUUUAGUGGAUGGAAGGCUUUAUACAAGACCAUUAGCUUGGUUUAGAGGAGCAUGCCUGUAAUCCUAGCUACUCAGGAUCUGAGGAUCACAAGUUCAAUGCCAGUCUAGGCAACUUAGUGAGACCUUGUCUCAAAAUUAAAAAAUAAAAAGGGGCCUGAGGAUGUGGUUUGGUGGUAGAGCACUUCCUUGGCAUGUAUGAGACCCUGGAUUCAAUCCCCUGUACUACAAAAAUAAAACUUAAAUUAAAUUUUAAAAAAUAAAGGUGUGGGGGAUGCUGGUGAUCUAGCUCAGUGGUUAAAGCAUCCCUGAGUCCAAUCCCCAGUACCACAGGAGUGGAGGAGGGGGAAAGACUACUACAUAACAGCCACCUGGGAAAUUAAUGUACUGUUGGACUUCAUUAUUAAAAGUAUAGAGUUCAGGUCCUAGGAGGUGAUGAUCCUAGUCUUCUCUCUUCUUUACUGGUCAGCACUAUCUGAAGCUCUGCAUUCUCUGCUGAUAUCACUCAAGAGAGGGAGUGACUGAAUAAUGAAAGGAGUCAAAACCACAUCGUGUGAGAACAGUUGGAAGAACUGAGGCAGUUCAGCCUGUGAAUAAAUAGUCUCAGAGGAUUGUAAGCUUUUCAAAUGCCUAAAGAACUGGGCUUAGGAAAGAAAAAGAAAUUAGACUUUGUGUUACCUAUGGCUGCACAGGGAGGAACCAGGGCCAGUGGAUGAAAAGUGUGAAUGUUAUCCUAUCUGCCACCCCAUUCCCUGGGGUAGCAAUUCUUAAAAUGCACUGGAGGACACCUGUAAAACACACUGCUCCUUGUAAAAUGCCUUGCUCUUUUGAAAAUAGGAGCAAAGAAUAGUAUUUGAGCAGUAAACAAGGCUCUGUGUAUGUGCAAUAUAACGAUGUUUUUAAAAAUCCACUGUAAGGGCUUGGGAUAUAGCUCAGUGGUAGAACACUUGCCUAGCAUGCCUGAGGCCCUAGGUCCAAUUACCAGCACACACACACACACACACACACACACACACACUCCGCUGUGGAACUAGCAUGAGGAAUGCUGUCCUAAUUUCUGUAAUACCAACUUUCAAAAGUUAUGUUCCAAGACCUAUUACAAAAAUACCAUUUUUUUCAUGCAUCCUUCUCUUUCCUUCAAUGAGAUGCAAGUUCUCUAUUUUACCCGUCCUAUUGGUCCUACUGCAUCAUCUUUGUGUAAAGCGCAAUGGUUUUAACCCUAUCUUAAAUUCCUUUAUAAGAGAGAUGAAAAGAUGUUUCCAGAGCACGUGAACCACCUUGUGAACUAAAUUAGGAAAAUAAUUUUUUCUAAUGUUACAGAUAAGCAAGGACAGCCCCAGAAAGGUAAAUAGUCUUGGCCAUUACUCUGCUGAAGGUUGGCAUUGUCUAGACUAGAACACAGGUACCCUGGCUCCCAGGCUCAGGAUAUUUUCUUCACAACCUGGGACUUAAACUCUUAUACAUCAAGCUUAAACUUCACUGAUCUUUAAGCCAUCUACACUAGGCUUUUGUCCUCACACCUAUUCAUGAAAUUACUUCCUUAAAGAUCUGACCAAGCCCUUCACCUCUUCUCAUCUAUUGGUAUCCUCAGACCUUCUCUCCUCUUAAGAUUUCUUUCCCAUCUCCUUCUCUAACUAUUCCACUCUCAGAGAUCAUUGUGAACCCUCCUUUUCUAGGAAGCUUCUCCAACUAUUCUUUUAUGCUCUCAACCAAUCCCAAAGCUUUUAUAACCUCUGGUAUAUAACUUGAUACAUGAUAUUCUGAUUUAGGGUGCCACUUUGAUAUGUUGUAUUAUGAGUCUUUUUUUCCCAACUCCCAUUUGAUCUCAUUGGCAUAUAGCUUCUAUUUUCAGAACUUACAACUUAGCAAAGAAGAAACUUGCUCUGUUUCCUUUAAGGAUGAGUAACAGUGGAGAAGAGAUUGCGUGGUAAUUCUAAGGAGGGAACAGUAGAGACAUGGAGAGAAAUGAGUAGGUCAGAAUUAGUGAGUAAAGUAGAAGUUACAUGCUGGGAAACUGUGGGAGAUUCAGAGGAAUAUAUGGUUGGGGAAUUCAUUAUUUAUUCAAAAAACAUCUUUUGAGCAUCUGUUGCAUGAAAGACAUUGUACCAGACAUAUGAAAUAAAAUAAUGAAAAAAGUGAACAUGUUUCCUGCUUUUAUGACCUGGCAAUCCAGUGGUAGAGAAAAAACAAAUAAACAAAUAAGCACACAAAUAAAAUUACAAACUAUGACAAGUGGUAGAAAAGACAAGAACAAGGUAGAAUAAGAGAAAAUAAUUUUCAUCCUACAGUAGAUUAGGGAUGUCAGGUAAGGCUCCUAUGAGAAAGUGAUGUUUAAAUUUAGACCACAGGAUGAGAAGGACCUUGAAUGCUCUGACAAGGAAUAACUUACUUCUUGCUCCCCAGUGGGUCAGGGGCUCCCAGCUGAGUUGUACAAUUUGAGUUCCUUCUAAAUUGGCCUUUCUCCAUCCUCUCUUUGCAGCAUUAGGUAAGUUUUUAGAAGUGAGGGACAUAGGAGGACCAAUGUAGCCCUUCUUUCAUUGGUAUCAGAGCUUAUAACUACUGCCAGCUUUGUCAUAGGGCUAAUAAUAGAUUUGUGAUCUUUAAUAUUUAAUGAUCAAAAACAGCUCUGCUGAUGAAGAGCUCCUACCUGAAUCUUCCAACACUGUAUGACUUGCACGCAUCUUCCUAGAGGUGGAAAAAGUAUCUAGAGAUCUUGGAGGAAGAAUGCCAGCCUGGAUGUCCUAUUCUUAGUAUAUCAGGCAUGAGGCUCACAUUCUGCUUACCACAAAAACCAAAUGUUAUAGGCCAUUCUGUGUGAGAGCAGGCCUGCCCCUAAGGGGAAAACCACUAGCCACAUUGGUAUACAGAUUGCAGCAUCUGAUGAGAGGGGCCUUCACUGGGCUUCCUGUGAAUCCUAAAGCUAUUCCCUGAAGAUUUUCCAGAAAGUCCUGUCUGCUCUCAGUUGACCUGAUGCUUCCAUCCCUGGCUUAAAGGAAAACACAGACUCAGGGAAAGGACAAGUGAGGAUAAUGACAUGGGUAAGUAGUGGUGGCUAAUGGCUUGGGGAAGAAGAGCGAGAACCUAUAAAAGUCAGGGGAAGCUGGUAGGCUUCCUCAUGGACCCUUUCAUUUCACAUCCUUCAUUUGCCAGGGUCUGAGGUGCAAUAGAAGGACAAUCUCCCAGAAGCUUCCUCAAGAGAAAUCAGUUUGAGUAUCCUUUAGUGGAUGGGAAGACCAGGAUGAGUUAGUGAGGGACACAUGCCUCAAGGCAGGAGCUGAGCCCAGCAGUGGUGGGAAGUCAGCUGGGUACACUCUAGCUACCAAUUUGUUGACCUUUGGCUUGUCUCCUAACCUCUUUCGGGCUAUUUGUAAAAUAAAUAAGAUCAUACAUGUGAAAAGGAACUGCAAAUUACUCCAUCAUUUCUGGUCUAGGGUUGAUGGUGAUGAAAGGGUUGGUGAUUUCCUUUUUCCAUCAGAGGUUCCCAAGGGAACUUUUGUGGGAAAGGGUAAGGAGAUGGUUUAUUCUUUUCACCAAACAAGAAGAGUCCUCAGCUUCCUUUACAAGGCUGUGGUGAGAUCAGGCUAGAGAUGGAAGUGCUCUGUGUUCCCAUCUAUUCCCAGAGAGGAUUUCACUGAGUGGAUCUGGGCAGGGGGAGCUCUGGAGUAUAGCUGAGGCCCUGCCCUUGCCCCUCCACGCCAUGCCUGUGGCAGAGUGCUAUUGGCACAGUGGAACCUUCCUGGAGAGCCCACUGUUGAUGGUAGGUAAAAGUAUCCUGCUUCUAUUUUAGUUCCCAAAGUUCAGCUCUCAGAACUCAAGAAAGAUUCAAAAAGGUCUGUAUUGCUGUUCCUCCCCAUUCCCAGUCCUGUCAUCAAUGGACUAAAGAAGGAGGCAGUUCCAGUCUGCUUAUUUUCUUCCAUUUUUUUAACAUAUUGUCAUGGAAAAUUUCAAACAUACACAGAGCAGAGGAAAAAGGUAAAAUGAACCUACUAGUGUACAUCACUCAACUUCAACAGUUAUUGACACCAGACUAAUCUUGCCUCCCCCAUACCCUACCCACUGGAUUAUUCUGAACAAUUAUUCAACUAUACAAUCAUGGUAUGUUUCUCUAAAAAAGUUCAUGUUUAAUAUAACCAUAAUACCAUUAUCACACCUAAAACCAGUAAUUCCUUAACAUAAAAAAUUUUUAGUUGGUUUGUUUGAAUCUGGCCUACAUAUUGUAUUUGUUUGAUGUCUCUUUAAAAAAAAUUUUUUUCUUUAGUACUAGGGACUAAGGGGUGAUUUAUCACUGAACAAAAUCUUCGGUCCAUUUUUUUUUUUUUUUAAUUUUGAGUCAGGGUCUUGCCAAGUUGCACAGUCUCACUAAAUUGCUGAGACUGGCCUUGAACUUGCAAUCUUCAAGUCACUGGUAUAACAGGCAUGUGCCAUCACACCAAGCUUACAUGUUUUUAAUCUAUAGUUCCUCCUACUUUUUCUUACAAUUGAUUUGUUUUUAAAAAUCAGUCCUUUGCUCUGUAAAGUCUCCCACAUUCUGGGUUUUGUUGAUUGCAUCCCUUUGGUGUUUCUUAUCCUAUUCUUCUGUCUCCUAUAUUUCUGCAAAUUAGUUAGAUGUCAAGGUUUGAUCAGAUUCAGAUCUGACUUUUUGUGAAGAAUGCUUGAGGUUUGCCAUUUACUUUCCAGCUUGCCUUCUGAGGUGUGAUCUUCAUUUCCAUGAGGAGACACAUGACAUGUCCUAUUUUUUAUGACUUCAAAUUGAUUAGUGGUGUAAUUUGCCUGAUUGCAAAUCCAUUACAGAAUUCCCCCUUCAGCCUUUUACCUAGUGUUUUUAACAACCCUUGAUUGUCAUUACUGCAGCCCAUUAUUUCAUUAGAGUUUCCUUCACAUUUGUACAACAAAGAACCCCUUUUAGUUUUCUGCCUUCAUCCCCAUCAGUAUCAGUUGGUCUUUGGCCUCUCUCCUUUAGGUCUACUUUUUUCCACCUCUGCCCUUAUUCUGCACCAUCAUUUCCUUCUUUAUCAACACAAGAUGAUACUAGGAUAUCUUUAGGUCUCAUAUACUUCCCUGCUUCACUGAUAACCUUCCUUUAGGGGAGGGCGCUAACUUUUCUAUUCUGACUGAGACAGCAUUAUCUCCCCUCAUGAAGUUCUAGGUCUGCUCUCUGUGAAUCCUUCUGGGGAUAUGCUUGACCCCAGAAGGAGAAAUAGCUCUUGUCUUCUCUCCUGUGGGAAAGAGUUUAGCAGGCUUGGGUUGCUUUUACCUUUCCAGGGAUUUCUGAGUAGACGUCUGUGCUGAGGAGGGUCUUUCUCACUUGUUUCCUGAGCUUCCUGCCCCAGCCUGGGCAUUGGCAGAGACCCAAGCCUGGUUUCCCGUUUAGCUGGGAUGUAGGCUGAUAGAAGUUGGGAGAAAGAAUAGGGUGGGCAGCUCUAGCACUAUUAGGUCCUUUUCUUUUUUCCUGCCAAGUUAAAAAACCUAUGAGAGCUGGGCACAGUGUGCAUGCCUAUAAUCCUAGCAGCUCAGGAAACUAAGGCAGAAGGAUUGUGAGUUCAAAGCCAGCCCCAGAAAUGGCAAGGCACUAAGCAACUCAUUGAGACCCUGUCUCUAAAUAAAGUACAAAAUAGGGCUGGGAAUGUGGCUCAGUGGUUGAGUGCCCCUGAAUUCAAUCCCUGGUACCCCGUGCGGGGUGGGGGGGGAGCUUUGAGAGCUGGAACACAAUUAUUACCUUCUGGUAUUUUGGCAUUCCUAUGCUGCCCUAGGCUCUCCACUCCUAGUUCCUUCUCCUCACAGAGGUGACACUGUAGAGCCUAUGUGCUGUGUGCACCCCUGACAAAUACAGCACAUUCAUCCCUGUAAGCCCUGUAAGCCAGCUAACUGGGAACACAUGAAAGUUGGGAGCUGCUUCUUACAAACCUGUACCCAUACCCAGGCCCUGCCCCUGUCCACAAAAGUUCUGUACCUCCAUUACCUAGCCUAAUACCUGUUAGUCCUUUGGUCACUAUGUCCAAUGCAAUAGAGUCUCUAUUGAAUCAGGAAGUUGGAGAAGUGGAGGCUAGCUGGGGACUGCUAUGCAGCAGCCAGAAAACAUUAGGAACUCUGGAGUAACAAUCACCAAGUAUAGUCAUCUUUAGUAUCCAUGAAGAAUUGGUUCCAGGACUUCUGCCAAUACCAAAAUCCAUGCAUACUCAAGUUCCUUUAUAAAAUGGCUUAGUAUUUGCAUAUGACACAUGCACAUCCUCCUAUAUAUUUUAAAUCAUCUCUAGAUUAUUUAUAAUCUCUAACACAAUAUAAAUGGCCAUGUAAAAAGUAGUUGUUAUAUUAUUAGGAAGUAAGUACAAGGAAAAAAAUGUUUGUACAUGUUCAGUGUAGACUCAACUUUUUUCCUGAAUAUUCUCAAUCUUAAAUUAAUUGACUUCACUCAUGUGGAACCCACAGAUUUGGAGGCCCAACUACAUAGGAUUUCUGAUGACAGCCUCACAGUCUUAGAUACCCCACCCACAUUCCUCAUGUCUAGCUCUUCUUUGGGCAGCAAGAAUCCAGAGUACCACAUUCUGUUUCUAGAAGGACCUGUUCCAUAUUACUUUGCUUUCCUCUUCUGGACAGUCACCGCAGAAAUUAUCUGAAGCCCAAUUCCUUUCAUACAAUGAGAAGAGAUACCAGAGGAAAAUGUUGCCAGUAGCAGGGAUGCUCAGUAUAGCCCCUCACAUUUCAACAACUUCCACUCAUAUUCUUCAGAUGACUUACAAGGUAUUUUUUUAAAAAAAUGUUUUUAGUUGUAGAUGAACACAAUAUCUUUAUUUUAUUUUUUAUAGACAUUCACUAUAUACCUGUUGAGUGAAUGUAUGACUUGAAUGAAUUCAGUCUUAUUUCCUUUACUUGAUAAUCCUAUAUAAUUCUGACUGUCAUAUUUAACCAAGCUUCCUCCAGGGGUGUGUCCUGCUGUUUGUGAGCACUUACUGCUAUCAGACACACAACAUUUUAUUUAAUCCUUGCAAUUCUGUAAAGGAGCUAUCCCUUAAUCUAUAGAGAGGAAAAGAGAGAUCCAGGGACACACAGCUAAGUGGCAAAGCCAUUUCAAGCCCAGUUAUGUGACAUCAAAGCCCAGCUUUUAACCAUGGCACUACACUGCCCUCUUUUGGCAUCUCAGAGAGUUGUCACUGGGCCUUGGUAAAUUUCAACUGUAAAUCAGUACUGUUGGUAAAGCCCCAAGAAACCAUGCUCUAGAUUCUGCUUUUGUUAGGCUGUAGGAAGACAUAGGGAGUGGGUUGUAAUAUACUGUCAUGUUUUACUGAAAAAAGGGCCAACUAUUAAAAUGGCCUAAUCGCAGUGUCCUGGGGAGUAGGUAUUCCCUGAUUAAGAUCCUACUAAAGUUAAUUUGGAGGAAGAUAGGAGUGUUUGUCUCUUUGUGAUUUAGUCAUGAAAGAUAGAGUUGUGGAAAUUGGCUUCAAGGCUUUCCUGGGAGGCUCAGACUCAAGCUCAGUAAGAGAGUAAUACUCUUGUUGAUUAGCAAAGUUCAAGUUAGUCAGAAUUCCAAGAUAUUCUUUUGUGUGUGUGUGUGUGUGUGUGUGUGUGUGUGUGAGAGAGAGAGAGAGAGAGAAGGAAAUUGGGGUUGAUGAAUACUUUAGAUGGUAAUGAUAUUAUAAAUAAGGAGAGAGCAACAUACAAAUAAACACCAUACAUGCUAUAAAGCAUUUCACAUAUAUUAUUCCAUGUCAUUCUAACACUAGCUUUGCAAAGUAAGCAAUAUUACACCCAUGAAAGGAAAGGAGUGUUAACAAAGGUAAUUUGACAAAGGAAACUUUCAAGCUGCCCUUGAAACUAAUUCAGGUGGAGCAUGCCUGUAAUCCCAGUGGCUCAGGAGGCUGAGGCAGAAGGAUCACAAAUUUAAAGCCAGCCUCAGCAAAAGUGGGGCACAAGCAACUCAGUGAGACCCUGUCUAUAAAUAAAAUACAAAAUAGGGCUGGGGAUGUGACUCAGUGGUUGAGGGCCCCGGAGUUCAGUCCCUGGUACCCUACCCCCAAAUAAAACCCAACUACCCCCACACACAUGGAGUUGGUAAGAGUAUAGAUUGUCACAGUCUCUCUGGAAGACAACACAAUGCCUGCAUGCCCAUUGAUUUCCUUGGCAAUUCCACUUCUAGGGAUUUGUUAGUCUAAAAAAUAGAUAAAUGUCUGGGUGUGAUGGCACACACCUAUAAUCCCAGCAACUCAGAGACUGAAGUAGGAGGAUCACAAGUUCAAGGCAAGCCUCAGCAACUUAGACCCUCAGCAACUUAGCAAGACCCUAUCUCAAAAUAAAAGUACUGGGGAUGUAACUCAGAGUUAAAGCUCCCCUGUGUCUGAUCCCCAGUUCAAAAAGGAAAAGAAAAAUCUAAAAAUCUUGUCCCUGCUAGGCAUCCCCAGCUUGGACCUGACACACCUGACUCAUUUCUUCUCACUUCAGUUCUGCAGAGCCUUGUGGCUUUCAAGAGCAAGGCAUUUUUGGGGGGCGGAAUAGAAAGCCAUUAACCUUAAACAGUUAUAGUCCUGAAUCUUACUACCUGUUGAAAGAUUUCCUGCAGUUUUAUCUUUGCCAUAGAAGAGAAGCAAAGGAACAAAUUUAUUCUCACAUUCCCCAAGGUAAAGCCAUGACUGCUUAUAUUUGAAUAUUCUGGGUGGUUCUCUUUGGCUUCUGGCCUCCCUCCCAUUAGUGUUGCUGCUUUUUUUUUUUUUUUAAAGAGAGAGUGAGAGAGGGAGAGAGAGAGAGAGAAAGAUUUUUUUUUUAAUAUUUAUUUUUUCGUUAUCGGCGGACACAACAUCUUUGUAUGUGGUGCUGAGGAUCGAACCCGGGCCGAACGCAUGCCAGGCAAGCGCGCUACCGCUUGAGCCACAUCCUAGCCCAGUGUUGCUGCUUAUUGUGUUGUGGUUUUCCAUAUGGUCUUUUUGUGUGGUAAAGUAGAAAAGGGGCCAGAAAACUUGGAACCUUGUCCCAGCUAGGAGAUUCCAGGGGAGCUGCUCAGCUUGACAGGAUUUCAGAUUUUUUUAUUUGCAAAAUUGGGAUUAAAUAAUAGAUGCUAUUUCUCUCUCUUACGAUUGUCAGAGAUGAGAGAUAAUAAUAAGGAAAAUGCUUUGAAACUAUAAGUUGUAAUACAAACAUAAAGAUCUACAUUUUUCUAAAUUUAACCUUUUCAUAUUUGUAUUAUGAACUCAUGUAAACAAGCAUACCUCUAAAUCUGUUUAUUAUGACAUAGCAGUUUAGUAGGAUGAUAGGAGAAUACUGAAAAAUCUUGAAAGGCCAUUGAUUUAUAAUAAAGAGACGUGUGUUUUUUUUUAAUAAAGAGACGUGUGUGUGUGUGUGUGUGUGUGUGUGUGUGUUGCUGGAGAUCAAAUCCAUGGUCUUGUGUAUGCUAGGCAAGUGCUUUCUCACACCCAGCUACACACCCAGCCCAAAAGGCCACUCAUUCUUAAAUCCAACCUGAGGAAGGGGGAGGGCAGAGGAGAAUCAGACUCAUUUUCUACUUCAUCUGCUUCUGUAUUGUUUUGUUUUCUCCAUUGAACAUGCAUUACUUUUGUAAGUUAAGGAAACCAAUAAAGAUAUUUUAAUGGCUUAAAAUGAUAUAGUCAGACUAGAUGUAGACAUUGGAAGUCAUUGUAGAGGGCUGACAUGGGGGAAAGAGAACAAAGAAUCUAGAAAGAUGAGCAAUUGGGGGAAGUAGCCUGAUUGGCAAGUUGGAGUCAUUUUUUUAAAAAUAUUGAAUGCCAGAUCAAUGAGUUUUUAAGUAGUGGGAGCCAUUGGGGGGGUCUCAAGCAAAGGAGUACUAUAAUCAGAGAAAUGUUUAAUUCUCAGAAGAGUAUUCUUAGAGUAAUUUACAAGAUGAGUUGGAGGAAAAGGAGACAGGGUAGUGAGAUGGGGAUAAGUUGUCAAAGACCUGAAGCAGAGUGUUGGCUGAGGAAAUGUUAAAAUAUACAAACAUGGGUAUGAUGGUGUACACCUGUAGUCCCAGCACUGGGGAGGCUGAGGUGGAAGGAUCACUUAACUCCAGCAGUUCAACACUAGCCCAUGCAACAUAUCAUAAACCAGUGUCAAAGUAAAAAAAAAAAAAUCCUGGGUGCAAUGGUGCAUGCCUGUAAUCCCAACAAUUGGAGAGGCUGAGUUAGAAGGACCACAAGUUCAAGACUAGUCUUGGCAACUUAAUGAAAUGAGACCCUAUUUCAAAAUAAAGAAAAUUAAAAGGGCUGGAGAGGUACCACAAUGGUCAAGUAUCCCUUUGGUACUGGUUCAAUCCCCAGUACCGAAACAAACAAACAAUGUUAGAUAUUUUGAAGAAAAUGCUGCCAUGUUUACAAUUAUUUUUUCAGAGUUAUACAGAGGAAGGAGGUGGAUCAAAAUGACCUCAGUGACCUCAUAGGCAGGUCAAAAGGAAACAGGAGCAAACCUGAAAGAGCUCCCAGUGGUCAAAGCUGUAACAAUCUGAGCAAAAAAAAUAAAUAUUGAUAGUAUUGGAUUAGAACUCCCCAAAUAAAAUAAAUAUAUACCAAUCCAUACUGAUAUAAAUAAAUGAGUGAAUAAAUAAAUGGAAAAGGGACAGAUAUUCUUUUCAGAGGAAUUCUAGUUUACACACACACACACAUAUCUUUUUUUUUUUUUUUUUUUUUGGUGGUACUGAGUCCUCAAACAUGCUAAGCAUGCACUGUACCUACCACUGAGCUACAUCCCCAGCCCUUUUAUAUUUUUUAUUUUGUUUAAAUUUUACAUUAUUUAUAGAAAGAAUGAGGCAAAUAAAAAUUACAUUAGAAUAUCAUAGUAAUAAUGGCUGCUAUCAAGACAAAUUGAUUAUUAAAAUUAGUGGGUGAAACUUUAAGGAGAAACAAGAUAUUUGCAUAGCCUAUAAGAAUCUGUUUUAAAAUAUGUAUUAAUUACUCUGAUAGUUUUAACAUAGUUCCACAAAUUUUGAUACUCUUCCCUCAAGGAGAUAGAACUUAAUUUCCCUCCCCUUGAGUAUGGGCUGGACUUAGUGACUUCUUUCUGAUAAAUAGAAUAUGGUAAGAGAAAAAUAGUAACUUUAUAAUAAAGAGACCUGGCAAACAUUACCCUAAGUAAUUAAGGUUAAUAACACAGGUAAUAAGGCAAAUACCUCCUAAUAUGCAGUGAUGAAGAGGAUGCAUUGCGUCCAUGGUAUUCUUUUCCAAAAUCAUGAUCUCUGUCCAAACAUGAGAAAACACCAAGCAAAUCCAAAUUGAACAGACACUAGAAGACACCUGACCUAUACUCUUCAAAAGUCAAGAUCAUGUAAGUAAAGAAAAGACUGAGAAACUAAGGAGACAUGUCAAUUACAUGUAAUAUGGACCUGGACAGAAAAGGGAUAUUAGUAGAAAAACUGGAAAAAUGUGCAUAAACUCCUUAGUUUAGUUAAUAAUAUUGUAGCAGUGUUGAUUUCUUAGAUUGGAUAAACAUACUAUGGUUAUGUAAGAUGCUACUAUUAGGGGAAGUGGGUGAAGGGUAUGCAAGGACUCUCUAGACUGUCUCUACAAGUAAAUAAAUUUAUUUCAAAAUAAAAAGUUUUUUUAAACAUACUAACAAUUUUUAAUUUCUCCAAGUUUAAAAAUGUCUUAGGGGGCUGGGGAUGUGGCUCAGUGGUAGAAUGCUUGCCUAGCAUGUGUGAGGCACUGAGUUCGAUCCCCAGGACCACAUAAAAAUAAACAAAAUAAAUGCAUUCUGUCCAUCUACAACUAAACAAAUUAAAAAAUAAAAAUAAAAAAUAAACAUAGAUAUUGUGUGUCCAUCUACAACUAUAAUAAUAUUAAUAAUAAUAAGCAUCUUAGUUUUUUUCUUUUUAUUUGCAGUAGCCAGCAUAAUUUAUAUAUACUGUUUUUAGUAAAUACAUGCUAAUCUGAGUUUAAUGUGUGAAUCAAGGUUCUUUUUUUUCCAACAAUCAGUAAAUAAUGCAAUUAAAAAUUAACAAAACAGGGCUGGGGUUGUAGCUCAGAGGUAGAGAACUUGCCUAGCAUGUGUGAGGCAUUGGAUUCAAUCCUCAGCACCACAUAAAAAUAAAUAAAAGUAUUGUGUCUGUCUACAACUAAAAAUAUUUUUUAAAAAUUAACAAAGCACAUAAAAAUAAAAGUAUUGUGUCUGUCUACAACUAAAAAUAUUUUUUAAAAAUUAACAAAGCACAUAAACAGGUAUUUCAUUGAAGUGGAUAACCAAAUGGCAAAUAAGCAUGUGAAUAAAUACUCAGCAUUAUUUGUUGUUAGAGAAUUUCACUUUAAAACCAUAAUGGGAUACCUAAGAGAUUGCCUAUGGUACAAUGUGUGUGUGUGUGUGUGUAUGUGUAUAUAUAUACAUAUAUAUGCAUAUGUAUGUAUAUAUUUCAAAAUAAACAUUUUUAAACUCCUCCCACCCCCACAUUUUUUGAGUUCAUUUGAUUGGGAAAGGAAGCACUAGGCCAUGGAGGAGCAUGAUAUCAUUGGAAGUAGCAGGCAGUUGGAAGUCUGGGUCUGGUAUUUAAGAAAGAGGUCAGAGAUGGAUAUGUAGACUAGGGAAUAAAACCCAAAGAGGUGUUACUUGAAAUAAUGUUUAUUUGAGAUGCCAGGAAAGGACAUGUUGAAAAAAAAAAUCACUAGGCACACUGGGUAGAGUGCCUACAGUGUAAGAAGAGAAACAAUAAGGAAAGUGUUAGAAUAAAUAGGGAUAGAAUAUUUGCAUAAAAGUCAAAGAAAUAUAAGGUUUCCAGAAAUAUCUGGUCAGCACUCAAAAGCCAAUGGGAGAUCAUCUGAGAAAAGACCACUGGAUUUUAGGAAUAUUGACCCCAAGAGAAGAGUCAGUAGAGCAGGUAAGGAAAGGAGUGGGAAAUAGAGGCAGGAAUCAAACUGCCAGAAGCAGGUUUACCCAAGCCAGGCAAAUGGACUUGUAUGAGGAAAAUGGAUACUCCUAGGCAGAGAGGCAGAAAAUUGAUGGCCAGAGAAGGUGGGCCAAAGGGCUGGGGCCCCUGCGCUUGAAGAGAGAACCGUGUGUGUGUGUGUGUGUGUGUGUGUACAUACAUACAUAUAUACACAUAUACACACACUCCAUAUGCAUACACAAGGACCCACUGUGUGCCAGGAAAUUAACACUGGAUAGCUCUGGGAGGUAGGAUUGAGGGUGAUGAUGUUUUUCCUUCUUAUUUCUGCUUAUCUGAACUUUUUACAGUGACUGUAUUCCCCUUGAAUUUAGAAAAAAAAAUUUACAUUUUGGUGCUCUUUGCCAAAUUUCUGUAAUAUCUAUGAUGAGAAUAAAUCAGGUGUGUUCUGCUGCAGACAAAGGAGACUACCUUCUCUGCAGCAGAACAGACUCUGCAAUGACAGAAUGGAGAAUUCUGGCAUGUGUGCAGUGGCUGCUGAGGAGAGGGGAGAGGCAGAUGAGCAGCAUCCUGAGGAUAUACUAAAUGGAGAACCCUCUCGCUUCCCUAUGGCUACUUGUUCCUGAGCCAGCCUGGGAAUGGUGGCCCAAGGGUAAGUCAGGAGACUCUGAUGCAGCCAGAACUUGGGGAAAAUCCACACCCCACUCCUUGCUGUCACUUCUAGGUUGGCCAGACCCUGCCCAGAUUUCCUUGUCUUCAGCCCACACUUCCUGAAAAACAGCAGACCCACCAUGAUCUCGACCAUGACUGGACUUCUCUACCAGAGGGCUUCCCUCUGUGGGAAAUCUCAAGGUUCCAAGGAUCAGAUCCAUAAUUGUUGAGAACAAAAUAAAGUUUUUGCUGAAAUGUCAACAA